GACAGAGGGUGCAAACGUUGUUCGGAUUUACUGGGCGUAAAGCGCGUGUAGGCGGCUUGGCAAGUCGGAUGUGAAAGCCCACGGCUCAACCGUGGAAGCGCAUCCGAAACUGCUUCGCUCGAGUCUCGGAGAGGAAGGUGGAAUGCUUGGUGUAGAGGUGAAAUGCGUAGAUAUCUGGAGGAACACCGGUGGCGAAGGCGGCAUCCUGGACCGGUAUUGACGCUGAGGCGCGAAAGCCAGGGGAGCAAACGGG
rnacentral:rRNA from 1 species